rnacentral:precursor_RNA from 1 species
AAUUCAUUCCUCGCUCUCUCCAUCUCUCUACCCUCUCCCUCUCUCUCGGAUAGCUAGCUCUUCUUCCUCCUUCCUCCGUUUGGAUCAGACGAGAGGGUAUGUAGUGGUGCACCACGAGUUGGUGAAGCUGCCAGCAUGAUCUGGUUAUGAUGGUGGUGGUAUAUGUAAGAUGGAUGUAAUCUAUACUACUACCGGCCCCUGUCA